CUUGAGCUUUAUAAGAGGUCCAGCCUGCCCAGUGACUCUGUUCAACGGCCGCGGUAUCCUAACCGUGCGAAGGUAGCGUAAUCACUUGUUCUUUAAAUGUGGACUAGUAUGAAUGGCACUACGAGGGUUAUACUGUCUCCUUUUUCUAAUCAGUGAAACUAAUUUUCCCGUGAAGAAGCGGGAAUAUAAUUAUAAGACGAGAAGACCCUAUGGAGCUUUAAACAACCCAGCAAUUACUUCUAAAAUUAUAAAUUUCAGAAUAUUCAUUUUCUAAGUAAUAUGUCUACAAGUUUUUGGUUGGGGUGACCAUGGAGAAUAACAUAACCUCCAUAUUGAAUGAAUUCUCUUCUAAGCUGAAAAUUACCUAUUAAAGCAUCAAUAUACUGA
rnacentral:rRNA from 1 species